rnacentral:lncRNA from 1 species
GAUUUGUGACGCCUGCUUUAUCACACAUUAUACCGAGAAAAUGAACCAACUUGCACUUUCAGUAUGUAAUAACACAAAGCGGGGUAACUGUUCAAUUCUUGUUUUGUCCAAAUGCCAGAAGUUUCAGUUGUGAAAAUUUAUUGCCUUUUCCACUUCUCUUUGGUUAUAGUCCAAGGAUACUGGAAUUCCUCUCGGAGCACAGCCCGAUCUCAUCACGGACAUUGACAGUAAAGUUGGAUUUGCUUCGCUAACUAUCUCACCACGGUUUCUCGGAGUCCUAUUGGCUCAAUGAGAGAUGUGAGAGACACCUUGGACUAAUGGAACUAAUCUGUGGCGUAAAGCAGCGCACGUCUUGUGCAGCGAGUGUUCCCCUGGGAAGCAGGAUGGAUGGAGCGUUCGUCUGUCUCCCCAUUGGCCGCCUGGGAUGGGAGAGCUGAUCUGGUGACAAGCAGGUACCUUAUUCUGCCCUAAUCGCUCUAGGGUUUUCCUUCCUGAAACUCUGUGUUUGUUCCAUGGAACUGUCUCUGGAGAGUACCAUGUGACCAGGCACAGGGAAUUAAGAGGGGGCUGUAGCCCACCUGGGUGAAGUGCCAAUUUCCCUCAAAUAUCGCUGCUGGUGAAAUACCUGAUGCCCAGGUAAGUUCAAAUUCC